rnacentral:misc_RNA from 1 species
AAAAUACUUUGGAACAUUUUGUAAUUUGCGAAGGAGAUUUUUGCCUUCCUCAGCUACUUCCAUGACAUACACAUUGUAGCGUUCAAAUACCUUAUCACUACAGCUAUCUUUCAACUUCCAAAUGAUGUGAACGUCAAGGGUCUUUGUUCCACCUGGACUUGUAGUCCUUCUAACAUAUGGACUUUCAACUAGCCAUGAACUAGAAGGAGGAAGAUCUGGU